rnacentral:rRNA from 1 species
UACGGAGGGGGCUAGCGUUGUUCGGAAUUACUGGGCGUAAAGCGCACGUAGGCGGCUUUGUAAGUUAGAGGUGAAAGCCUGGUGCUCAACACCAGAAUUGCCUUUAAGACUGCAUCGCUUGAACACGGGAGAGGUGAGUGGAAUUCCGAGUGUAGAGGUGAAAUUCGUAGAUAUUCGGAAGAACACCAGUGGCGAAGGCGGCUCACUGGACCGUUGUUGACGCUGAGGUGCGAAAGCGUGGGGAGCAAACAGG